CUCCAGGCUGCAGAGAGAAGACAGAAGCUGUUGAAAAGCAGGGAGCUGGGAAGAAGGAAACAGAUGCCUGUCUAUCAGACCAUGGCUCCCUCCUCCCUGCUAAGAUAAUGCUUGGAGUGCACGCUGAUUUGAGUUUGAGGAGGUGAAGCUAAGAGGGCCUGAGCUGCUGAGGUGAGGUUACACGGACCCAUCUCAGAGCUGCAGCUCAUCCAGAAUAAGACCCAGAUGCCCGGGGGAUCCAUGAACCUGGUAAUACGGCUGCCAGAAGCCAGCCUUAUGCAGGGAAUAUAGGUGAAGCCUCUCUAUGAUGCUGGAGUGUGUGUGUCAGCACUGGGGUGUGUGGUGUGUGCUGCAUGUGUGAGGUAACACUGUGGUGUGGUGUGUGUGAGGUAGCAUCAUGAAAAUCGAUUGUUCUUUUUCCCCCUUUCGCCCUUAGUGCAGUAGGACUUAAACAUAACUAAUGACAGAGCACACUGGUUCCACUGACCUACUUAAAAAGACUGAUGUUUAAAGAAGAAUUUGUCCUAGGGGUAGGGUCUUUGUAACCUGAACAUUUGCUGUUUCUCUUCUGCUAAUCUGCAUCAAAUCAUUCUGUUAUAGCAUUGUUUCAUAUGUACAGUUAUAUAUUAUAUUAUAUGUUUAUAUGGUUUUACACGAAUUUAAAAAAAAAAAAAAACUUGAUCCCAUACAGGGCUGCAUCAAAGGGUAUCUUGGGAGGUGUCCACCUUCUGCCAGGGUGAAGAGUCACUGUGUUUUGGAGCUUUUCUGGAAUUCCCCCCAGAACCUUCUUUCUAUCUGGGCUUUGUGAUCUGGAUAGUACACCUUAGCAUCAAAACACGUUCUCUGACUUCACCUGCCUGUCCUCUGCAGUGUCAGCUCCGCACCCUGAAAUGACUUUCUUUUUGAAACAGACUGGGUCUGGAAUUUGGAGAGUAAAUAUGGUGAAAAACAAUAACUGGAUAAUACAGUUUUUGUUGGAAACCCAGAAAUAAAACUGGCUCUCAGGCAGCUCACAAACUGGCCCUGGGAGAUUCCACUGAUGCUGUCUGUCAGCCCUGGGCUGGCCCUGCUGUGAGGAGUGGUUUCCUGUGGUGUCCACUUCAAAAGACGGCCUGGCUGCUCACAUAGUGGCUGCUGAUUAAAGAAACACACUGUCCUUGCUGGGGCCUUCUCCCACACAGCCAUGGGCCAUCUAACAUUCCCUUUCCCUUGUUACUACACAGCCUGUGAUCUGUCCAGCCGAGGAGCAUCAAGGAGAGCGAGACAGCUCCCACUCCCACCCGGACGACUCUACCAUCAACCUGAUGUGAUCUGCUUCGAUGUCUCUCCAUUAUCUCACACAACUAUGUUGCCUGGCUUUGUGUCAAAUUGGCAGAAGCUAGAGGGGCAGGCAGGAGGGAGCCUCAGCUGAGAAAAUGCAGGACUGUGGGCAAGUCUGUGGAACAGCUUCUUAGUUAUUGAUGGGGGAGGGCUCAACCCUUUGUGGGCGGGGUCACUCUUGGGCUGGUGGUCCUGGGUUGUAUAAGAAAGCAGGCUGAGCAAGCCAUGGUGAGCAAACUCUACAUCAGCUCCUGCCUCCAGGUUCCUACUCUGUUUUGAGUUAUUGCCUUGGCUUCCCUCAAUGGACUGAUUCCAAAUAUGUAACCCAAAUAAAUUCUUUCCUUCUCAACUUGCUUUGGGUCAUGGUGUUUCAUGACAGCAGUGAUAACCUUAAGACACCACCAGUGCCAUCAGAGGAAACACACUGCAGUUUUGAUAGUUCCGUGGAAUUUCAUAGGUGAGAUCAUGUUAGGCGGCAGAAAGCCAUAAUUAGAAUAUAUUGCAUAAAAAUUUUAUUUUCAAUUAAAACGAAAAAGAAAAAUCCCCUGGAAGAUAACGCAUAGCCUUUGUGAGCUUGUGAGGGCCAGCUGCCACACACAUGGAGUAGGGUGGUCAGGCCACUGGGAUCUGUGACACUUUGUCAAUUCAGGCCUACGCCCCUCUUCCCCUCAGGUAAGCUUGGGGACUCUCUGGGGUCAUGUAAACUUUCGGAGUGUAUGACAUUUGGACGAUGUCCCUCUGAAGUGUCCUGGGAGUUCCUGAAAUGUUAGGUAGAUUUGAAACAUUCGAAAACAAUUUAUGUUGUCAUUCCUUGAUCCCUGUGUAGUUUAAUUCCCAAUUAUUAAAAAAAUAAAUUAUUUAGAUUUUUUAUGUGUAUGAGUGCUCGGCCUGCAUUUUGGUACAUGUGCCACGUCGUGUCUGGGGCCUAUAAAGUCAGAAGAGGGUGCUAUGUAUGGAAGUGUAAGGGUGUUACCCAGCUUACUUAGUAGCUGUUCAUCUCAAAGUAGAAUCCUCUGUCUUUGCUUCAGCAUUUCUGGGAGACAGGAGGACUUCCAUAGCACCCAGAGAAUGAGAAAGGAGUUCUGAUUACCUCUUGCACACCGCACAGCUCAUCUGCCUGGCAAGCUGCUCUUGUUUUUAUGUGAGCCUGUGUGAGACUAUUUUAAGCGGAUGUUGCACGGUGUCACUAAUUGUCUCCGUCCAUAUUAAGCACCUACCCAUAUUGUUGUGACUGGGGUGUCAGUCGGUGUACUCUUUGUCAUUCAACUUGGGGCCUCAUCCAUCUGGAGCAGGCAGGCACCUGCUACACUGUAACCUGUUAUUAGUGGGAGCAAAUAUAUGUAAACAGAAACACACACACUCUCACUCCUUGCUAUUCUGGACCUCCUGUUUCUUGGGAACAAGUGGACUUGAGAACAAGAGGCCUUGCCCUAUACUGAGUUAUUCCCAGGUAAACUCAAAGGAUUGAUGGAAUUAUACACUGUAGAAAUGGCUUCUGAGGAACGUUCUGCAGUCAUGGGUCAGUUAGGAAAUACACACACACACACACACACACACACACACACACACACACACACACACAGUGUUUUCUCUCUCUGAACUCAUUGGCCUUGUUCUUCUUGGGGUCUCCUCUCCACACAGGCCACAUUGAUGGUGGGAGGCUCUGCUCUGCAUAUGUCUUGGCUGCAGGAACUCUGUCUCCUUGGCUCUUCUGUCUGCUGGAGCACUUACAGACACAUCCUCUCUGGCAAGUGCCCAAGGUCACCUGUUCCUAUAAGGAAUCUUUUUUUUUCACACCUUAAGUGUUUUAUUUAAUUUCAGUUGCUGAAAACCACAGAAAGCCUCUGCUGUCUGCUGACUGUCCCAAUAACAAUCUAGAGCAGCAGUGGUCCCUCCCUUUUCCCCUCCCCCUUCUUUCCUGUCUCCUCCUUCCCUUCCCUCAUCUCCCUCCUUCCUUCCUUCUUCCCCCAGUUGUUCAUCCUUUCUCCAUUUUCACUCUUGCUGUUAGAGCAGUGCUUACCUCUAACAGUUUCUGCACCCUAUGGUGGGUGUACAGAUGGCCGUGUGUGUGUGUGUGUGUGUGUGUGUGUGUGUGUGUGUGUGUGUCACGGCUCUGUGAGCUCAUGUCUUACCCCAGCUGCACAGGACCUAUUUCAGUGCCAAUUAAUUCUAGCGUAACUAACAUAUGCUUCACGGUACUCUCGUUUCCGACAGAAUAUAUAACUCGCUGGAGGACAUUGUGAGAAAGCAUCAUUUAAAAUAUCUGGGCAGCUUUGAUUCAGUACAUUUGCUUGAUUGGGUUACACUAGGCUUCCCACAAUUAGCUAAAACAAUACAUAAAACAAUAAAGGGAACUGGUGAAAGUUUCAUUGCAGAGUGGUCUAAUGGUCGUGAUAACAGCUAUUAGCUCUGACGUUGUGUUACAUUUGGUUAGAGUAGAUGGCCUCAUUCGAUCCCUUCCAGGAGAAGAAGGGGAAGGGCACAGAGAGGCCAUACGGCACACCAAGUAUCAUUUGGUAAUUGGAUUAGCCCCCUCGUCUCUCAGCUUGAUCUCUGAACGUCUCUGUUCAGGCCAUUGAAGAAUGGUCACUUAAAGUGACUUUGCCUAAUGUGAGCACCAGCAUUUAAAACAAACAGCGACAGCAGUCUACGGAGACAUUGGUUUAUGAAGUUAGAAGGCUUGGAGCAAAUUUACUUUCUCACAUAAGGAACAUAACUAAGUACCUUUUGCAGUUCCAAGAAGAAAGGAGAGUGGAUUGUGUGUGUGUGUGUGUGUGUGUGUGUGUGUGUGUGUGUGUGCAUGUGUUUGUGUAUAGGUGUGUGUGUUUGUGCUGUGUGUUUGUGCAUAUAUUUGUGUAUAAGUGUGUGUCUGUGUGUAUGUCUGUGCAUGUGUAUGUGUGUACGUUUGUGUACACAUGCAUGUGGACGUUUGUGUGUAGGUGUGCAUAUCUGUGUGUGUAUGUGUCCAUAUGUGUGUAUGUGAUUGUGUGUGCAUACAUGCAUUUAUGUGAGUAGGUGUGUGUAAUGUGUGUGUACCUGUGUGCAUGUGUGUGUGUGCGCAUGAUUGUGUGUGGGGCUUUUCUGUAUGAAUUUUUGUCUUGCAUUUGGCAUCCACCUUGCUUUUUGAGACAGAGUCUGUCAUUGGGACCUGGGGAUUAUCAAGGAGGCUAAGUUGGCUGGCCAGUGAGCCCCAGGGAGAUAGAUGUCUGUCUCUAUCUCCCUGUUGCUGGGAUUGUAAGUGUGUGCUACCAGAUGCGGCCCUUUACGUGGCUCUGGGGACUGACCUCAGGUUCUCAAGCUGACUCAGCCUCACCUAGGAAGGUUUUGCUGGUGCUGCAUCGUUUCCUAGAGGCCUCUCUCACUCGAAGAUGAUUCUCUGGCGUGGGUGUGAGUUUGUUGAUCUACUCUUCUCCCAGGUACCAUUUGAGUCUGUCCUCUAAAGUGUAGGUGCAGGGUUGGGGAUUUAGCUCAGUGGUAGAGCGCUUGCCUAGGAAGUGCAAGGCCCUGGGUUCGGUCCCCAGCUCUGAAAAAAAGAGCCAAAAAAAAAAAAAAAAUACAGUAAAGUGUAGGUGCGCCAUGUGUAGGUGCAUCAGAGUGUGACAGCUUUCCAUUUUAGUUCAUUAAGUGGGAUGCUACAGCCUCCCAGGUGUGUGUGUGUGUGUGUGUGUGUGUGU